rnacentral:rRNA from 1 species
ACCCGAAACCCGGUGAUCUAGCCAUGGGCAGGUUGAAGGUUGGGUAACACUAACUGGAGGACCGAACCGACUAAUGUUGAAAAAUUAGCGGAUGACUUGUGGCUGGGGGGGAAAGGCCAAUCAAACCGGGAGAUAGCUGGUUCUCCCCGAAAGCUAUUUAGGUAGCGCCUCGUGAAUUCAUCUCCGGGGGUAGAGCACUGUUUCGGCAAGGGGGUCAUCCCGACUUACCAACCCGAUGCAAACUGCGAAUACCGGAGAAUGUUAUCACGGGAGACACACGGCGGGUGCUAACGUCCGUCGUGAAGAGGGAAACAACCCAGACCGCCAGCUAAGGUCCCA